AGCGGGCAGGUGGCCAGCGGCGCGUGGCGGAGCGUGGGCGGCCGGCGAAACUCCAAGGGCUGACCGCGUAGGGGAGCGAUCCACCCCGGGCUCCAGGAGCCAGAGACCGCAGCGGCUGUGGCUGCUGCACAAAGAGCCCAGGGGACACUGCCCCUGCCUGCACUCUGCCUUGGGCCAUCGCUACUCCCCAGGGGUCCGUGCGGACUCACCUCUGUAAAGUGUCACGAUGUCUGAUGUCUGAUCAGAAGGCAGUAAUCAAGAACGCAGACAUGUCUGAGGACAUGCAACAGUAUGCUGUUGGCUGCGCCACGCAGGCCAGGCCGAAGUACAACUUAGAGAAGGCCAUUGCUGCCUAUAUCAAUAAGGAAUUUGACAAGAAAUAUAACCCUACCUGGCAUUGUUUCGUGGGCCGAAAAUUUGGCAGCUAUGUCACACACGAGACAAAGCGCUUCAUCUAUUUUUAUUUGGGUCAAGUUGCAAUCCUCCUCUUCAAGUCAGGCUAGUUGGCCGUGGUGAAGGUGUCAGUGGCUGUGGCAGCGAUGGCAAGCAGGUGGUGUUGCUGGGACUGUUUUGCACUGGGGCCAGCAUCAGGAUAUCCUCUCUAAUGGCUGUUCUACCCUACUGCAUGGACUGUAUACUCUAUUUCUUGUGUACGUCGCAGUAAACAAAACCAAACCUCUUUCUGUUUUGUUUCCUGGGGAAGGCUGCAUUAUGCUUAUUUUUCAAGAUUUUAAAAAUAUUUUUUUUCGGUUGUAUUGCACUAGGAAAUCUCUCUCACCUCUUCAUUUUCUCUCUUUCCCUAUACAAAAUAAAAAGCCCUCCACAAAGACUAGGUGGCCAAAAGACUAGGAGGGCUGAGGAAAAGAAAUAGGUCUCUGGAGGUGAAACUAUAACUGUGCAGCUGCCUCUUCCUGGGGAGGCUGCAGGGAGACAGUAUUGGGAUUGUCAAGGAGAAAGGGAUAGGAAGGAAAGUGGAGGGAUUGAUCUAGUACCAGGGAGAAUAUUCCACUGAACUGUGAUUCUAUGGCUUGGGGCAGAGGGUGGGGUGGAGAUGCAGUCUUUAGGGGGCCCUGAGAGGUGUUUGUGGUGUGUGGGAGCGGGGAGCAAACUUGUCUUGCUGUCUAUGUCAGAAUUUCUAAGUAAUGGCUGUGUCUUGGUGCAUGAUCUUUUGUUCCUCCUGCCAGAGAUCAUAAUAGGAGGAUGUUGGUGGUAGGAUUCACUUUUUUUUUUUUCCUUUACAUUCUUCUGUCUGCUCCCUGCUUAGCCCUCAGUUUUCUCAUUCCUCUGCAGUUCUCUUAGAGCAGCCCCUGUUGUUAGUUGGCUGGUAAGGGAAUUUAAGGUGACUGUAGUUCCUUAGUUAAGUCUUAGCAAUCAAACCAAAUCAAUGUCUCCCUUGAGCCUCCUGUGUAUAUGUGUGUGUUUGGAGUGGAGAGGGGUGAGGGGAGGGAGUGGGGAGGACCAUUUGGAAUCUCUAAGGUGUAUGGGUAGGUAGGGGGCAAAUUAGUUCUAAGUGGGCUUUUAUGUUAAAAGCCUCUGGGGAUAUCUGUUUUAGAAGUAAAGAUAGGUGUCAUUGCUGUUAUUUAGCCCAGACACUCUUGCUUGCUCUCUGGCUAUCUGCUCCCUGGGAAGGCUUUAGGAGGACCACCCAGGACAGGAUGACCAUGCUACCAUCUGCUUUGGAGCUGGGUCUCAGGGCAGAGGGACAGUGACUGUGGAUGUUUGCAGUCUCUGGUGGGAGGUGAGGAUGGAUGUGAUAAAGAGCUGAGAGGAGCUUCUGGGGAACCUUGGAAAAGGUCAGUCUUGCAGUGAUGAAGCCAGGUAUCAAAAGAUGGAACAAGGCCAUGAGGGCAUGAGGGAAGGAGAUUUCAAGGAGGAUGAGGGGAAAUCUUGUCUCUUAAUGAAA